rnacentral:rRNA from 1 species
UAGGGAAUCUUCCGCAAUGGACGCAAGUCUGACGGAGCAACGCCGCGUGAGUGAAGAAGGAUUUCGGUUCGUAAAACUCUGUUGUUAGAGAAGAACAGCGCAUAGAGUAACUGUUAUGCGUGUGACGGUAUUUAACCAGAAAGCCACGGCUAACUACGUGCCAGCAGCCGCGGUAAUACGUAGGUGGCAAGCGUUGUCCGGAUUUAUUGGGCGUAAAGCGAGCGCAGGCGGUCAAUUAAGUCUGAUGUGAAAGCCCCCGGCUCAACCGGGGAGGGUCAUUGGAAACUGGUUGACUUGAGUGCAGAAGAGGAGAGUGGAAUUCCAUGUGUAGCGGUGAAAUGCGUAGAUAUAUGGAGGAACACCAGUGGCGAAGGCGACUCUCUGGUCUGUAACUGACGCUGAGGUUCGAAAGCGUGGGUAGCAAACAGG